UUGUAAGAAUGACAAGUUUGAAAUAGUUUUUCUGUGUUUUCGUUCUGUAAUUUUAUAUUUGGCAACUGGGUAUGGUAAUCGGACUUUGUUUUCAAAUAAAUAAUGUCGGUCUCUCCUCAUAAUGGCGAUCUCUCCUCCUUUCUGGCAAAACCUUCCUUGGAAAUGUUUCGAACACAAUCGAUAAUGCCAAAUUGUAUACAGUCAAAUGCGCUACAUUGAAGGCCAUCGAAUUGAAAAAUGCAGUCCGUUUAAUUUUAAUUGAAACGUAUUUCAAUUAAACGGGCUUCGCAUAAUCGUAUAGAUACAUACAUAUACGUACAACAAGAUUGCAAUGUCUGAUAGUUACUGAUUUUAUUGAAACAAAUAUCCCAACCCUCAACUAAAUCUGUUCACAUGAACAACUGUCAAAGUCCUAUAAAAAAUGUAUAUGGAAAAUGAGAGAAAUAAUUGAACGCUGUUUUUACAUUAGGGACUCAAAAAAAACAAAUAAAGAAGUUUCUCAAAACUAUUCCCAGGCUUUACAAUAAA
rnacentral:sRNA from 1 species